AGCUUCAUCAGCGUCGACCGAGCUGCCAACGUCACCGGAGAGGGUUACUUCAGAAGAUCCGACCACAUCCACAAAUACCCGGAGCACUGCGAAAGUGCCAAUUACAGCAGAAUAUACUGCACAGUGUCGUUUGAAGAUUCCUUGGAGAAAUGAGCUGUCUGA